ACGGGGGGUGCAAGCGUUGUUCGGAAUUAUUGGGCGUAAAGAGCGUGUAGGCGGCUCGGUAAGUCAGAUGUGAAAGCCCUGGGCUUAACCCAGGAAGUGCAUUUGAAACUGCCAGGCUAGAGUAGGGGAGAGGGAAGUGGAAUUCCUGGUGUAGAGGUGAAAUUCGUAGAUAUCAGGAGGAACACCGGUGGCGAAGGCGACUUCCUGGCCCUAUACUGACGCUAAUACGCGAGAGCGUUGGUAGCAAAAAG
rnacentral:rRNA from 1 species